rnacentral:rRNA from 1 species
GACGAACGCUGGCGGCGUGCCUAACACAUGCAAGUCGAACGGAACUGUUUUGAAAGAUUUCUUCGGAAUGAAUUUGAUUUAGUUUAGUGGCGGACGGGUGAGUAACGCGUGAGUAACCUGCCUUCAAGAGGGGAAUAACAUUCUGAAAAGAAUGCUAAUACCGCAUGACAUAUCGGAACCACAUGGUUUUGAUAUCAAAGAUUUUAUCGCUUGAAGAUGGACUCGCGUCCGAUUAGUUAGUUGGUGAGGUAACGGCUCACCAAGACCGCGAUCGGUAGCCGGAAUGAGAGGUUGAACGGCCACAUUGGGACUGAGACACGGCCCAGACUCCUACGGGAGGCAGCAGUGGGGGAUAUUGCGCAAUGGGGGCAACCCUGACGCAGCAACGCCGCGUGAAGGAUGAAGGUUUUCGGAUUGUAAACUUCUUUUAUUAAGGACGAAAAAUGACGGUACUUAAUGAAUAAGCUCCGGCUAACUACGUG